rnacentral:rRNA from 1 species
CCUACGGGAGGCAGCAGUGGGGAAUCUUGCACAAUGGAGGAAACUCUGAUGCAGCGAUGCCGCGUGAGUGAGGAAGGCCUUUGGGUUGUAAAGCUCUUUUGUAGGGGAAGAUAAUGACUGUACCCUAAGAAUAAGGUCCGGCUAACUUCGUGCCAGCAGCCGCGGUAAUACGAAGGGACCUAGCGUAGUUCGGAAUUACUGGGCGUAAAGCGCGCGUAGGCCGUUGAGUUAGUUAAUUGUGAAAUCCCAAAGCUUAACUUUGGAACUGCAAUUAAAACUGCUCGACUAGAGUUUGAUAGAGGAAAGCGGAAUACAUAGUGUAGAGGUGAAAUUCGUAGAUAUUAUGUAGAACACCAGUUGCGAAGGCGGCUUUCUGGAUCAACACUGACGCUGAGGCGCGAAAGUAUGGGUAGCAAAGAGGAUUAGAUACCCUCGUAGUCCAUACCAUAAACGAUGAUUGCUAGAUGUUGGAAAUUUAUUUUCAGUAUCGCAGCUAACGCAUUAAGCAAUCCGCCUGGGGAGUACGACCGCAAGGUUAAAACUCAAAGGAUUGACGG